UACGUAGGGUGCGAGCGUUAAUCGGAAUUACUGGGCGUAAAGCGUGCGUAGGCGGUUCGUUAAGUUCGUUGUGAAAGCCCCGGGCUUAACCUGGGAAUGGCCAUGGAAACUGGCGAGCUGGAGUCUGGCAGAGGGGGGUGGAAUUCCGCGUGUAGCAGUGAAAUGCGUAGAGAUGCGGAGGAACACCGAUGGCGAAGGCAGCCCCCUGGGCUAAGACUGACGCUGAGGCACGAAAGCGUGGGGAGCAAACAGG
rnacentral:rRNA from 1 species